rnacentral:misc_RNA from 1 species
CAGAGUGUGAGGCUCAGUCGUGGCAUCUGCUGCGUGCUGGGCCGACCCUCCCACCCGUGUCGAUUUGUAUCUUGUUGCUUUGGCGGGCCGGGCCGCGUCGUCGCUGCUCCGCAAGGACAUGCGUCGGCCGCCCACCGGUUUCGGCUGGAGCGCGCCCGCCAAAGACCCAACCAAAACUCAUGUUGUUUUUGUCGUCUUAGCUUUAUUAUUGAAAUUGAUA